rnacentral:rRNA from 1 species
CGAAUUAAGGGGUUUAACUCCCAAACCCCAUGUGAACGUUACCAAUCUGUUGCCUCGGCGGGAUUCUCUUGCCCCGGGAGCGACACAGCCCCGGAUCCCAUGGCGCCCGCCGGAGGACCAACUCCAAACUCUUUUUUUCUCUCCGUCGCGGCUCCCGUCGCGGCUCUGUUUUAUUUUUGCUCUGAGCCUUUCUCGGCGACCCUAGCGGGCGUCUCGAAAAUGAAUCAAAACUUUCAACAACGGAUCUCUUGGUUCUGGCAUCGAUGAAGAACGCAGCGAAAUGCGAUAAGUAAUGUGAAUUGCAGAAUUCAGUGAAUCAUCGAAUCUUUGAACGCACAUUGCGCCCGCCAGUAUUCUGGCGGGCAUGCCUGUCCGAGCGUCAUUUCAACCCUCGAACCCCUCCGGGGGGUCGGCGUUGGGGAUCGGCCCCUCACCGGGCCGCCCCCGAAAUACAGUGGCGGUCUCGCCGCAGCCUCUCCUGCGCAGUAGUUUGCACACUCGCACCGGGAGCGCGGCGCGGCCACAGCCGUAAAACACCCCAAACUUCUGAAAUGUUGACCUCGGAUCAGGUAGGAAUACCCGCUGAACUUAAGCAUAUCAAUAAGCGGAAGAAUU